AACGUAGGACGCGAGCGUUAUCCGGAGUUACUGGGCGUAAAGCGCGGGCAGGCGGUCUGACAAGUCUGAUGUGAAAUCACCCGGCUCAACCGGGCGAGGCCAUUGGAAACUGACAGGCUGGAGGGCAGUAGAGGUAGGCGGAAUCCGGGUGGAGUGGUGAAAUGCGUAGAGAUGUGGAGGAAUACCGAUGGCGAAGGCAGCCCCCUGGGCCAAUACUGACGCUCAUGCACGAAAGCGUGGGGAGCAAACAGG
rnacentral:rRNA from 1 species